rnacentral:rRNA from 1 species
CCUACGGGUGGCAGCAGUGGGGAAUAUUGCACAAUGGGGGCAACCCUGACGCAGCAACGCCGCGUGAUUGAAGAAGGCCUUCGGGUUGUAAAGAUCUUUAAUUGGGGACGAAAAAGAUGACGGUUCCCUAAGAAUAAGCUCCUACUAACUACGUGCCAGCAGCCGCGGUAAUACGGAGGGAGCAGGCGUUAUCCGGAUAUACGGGGUGUGAAGGGGGAGUAGGCGGGUUGGCAAGUCAGAAGUGAAAACCCAGGGCUUCACCGUGGUACUGCUGUCAAAACUGAGGAGCGAGAGUGCAGGAGAGGUAGGCGGAAUUCCGGGUGUAGCGGUGAAAUGCGUAGAUAUACGGAGGAACACCAGUGGCGAAGGCGGCUUACUGGACAUUAACUGACGUUGAGGAGCGAAAGCGUGGGGAGCAAACAGGAUUAGAUACCCUUGUAGUC